ensembl:lncRNA
GGGAAAUGAGAUUUAGAGUUUGGAAUUCCAGAUCCGACUUUUGAUUCAAGCCAAACUGCAGAUGUUUUUAAAGUAUUCGACUUAAACUAAGACUUCAUUAGCAUAAUCGUGUCCCUGAUGGUCUAGUGGCUAGGAAUCUGCGCUCUCACCGCCGCGGCCCGGGUUCAAUUCCCGGUCAGGGAAUUCAGAUAUAAAGUAUUGAAUUCCAGAUCAGGGAAUUCCAGCUCCAACUUUUAAUUCAAGCCAAACUGCAGAUGUUUUUAAAGUAUUCGACUCAAACUAUGACUUCAUUUGCAUAAUUGUGUCCCUGAUGGUCUAGUGGCUAGGAUUCGGCGCUCUCACCGCCGCGGCCCGGAUUCAAUUCCCGGUCAGGGAAAUCAGAUUUAGAGUAUUGAAUUCCAGAUCCAACUUUUAAUUCACGCUUAAACUGCAGAUGUUUUUAAAGUUUUCGACUUAAACUAAGACUUCAUUAGCAUAAUCAUGUCCCUGAUGGUCUAGUGGCCGGGAUUUGGCGCUCUCACCGCCGCGGCCCGGGUUCUAUUCCCGGUCAGGGAAAUCAGAUAUAAAGUGUUAAAUUCCUGGUCAGGGCCGUUGAAGCUCUAAAUUUUAAUUCAAGCCAAACUACAGAUGUUUUUAAAGCAUUCGACUUAAACUAUGACUCCAUUUGCAUAAUUGUGUCCCUGAUGGUCUUGUGGCUAGGAUUUGGCGCUUUCACCGCCGCGGCCCGGGUUAAAUUCCCGGCCAGGGAAACGAGAUUUAGAGUUUGGAAUUCCAGAUCCGACUUUUAAUUCAAGCCAAACAGCAGAUGCUUUUAAAGUUUUCGACUUAAAUUAAUACAUCAUUAGCAUAAUCAUGUCCCUGAUGGUCUAGUGGCUAGGAUUUGGCGUUCUCACUGCCGCGGCCCGGGUUCAAUUCCCGGUCACGGAAAUGAGAUUUAGAGUUUGGAUUUCCAGAUCCAACUUUUGAUUCAAGCGAAACUACAGAUGUUUUUAAAGUUUUCGACUUAAACUAAGACUUCAUUUGCAUAAUUGUGUCACUGAUGGUCUAGUGGCUAGGAUUCGGCGCUCUCACCGCUGCGGCCCGGGUUCAAUUCCCGGGAAGGGAAAUCAUAUAUAAAGUGUUAAAUUCCUGGUCAGGGAAUUCAAGCUUUAACUUUUAAUUCAAGCCAAACUGCAGAUGUUUUUAAAGUAUUCGACUUAAACUAAGACUUCAUUAGCAUAGUCAUGUCCCUGAUGGUCUAGUGGCUAGGAUUUGGCGCUUUCACCGCCGCGGCCCGGGUUCAAUUCCCGGUCAGGGAAAUGAGAUUUAGAUUUUGGAAUUCCAGAUCCAACUUUUA